UACAGAGGGCUCAAGCGUUGUUCGGAUUCAUUGGGCGUAAAGGGCGCGUAGGCGGCGCGGUAAGUCGGGUGUGAAAUCUCGGAGCUUAACUCCGAAACUGCAUUCGAUACUGCCGUGCUUGAGGACUGGAGAGGAGACUGGAAUUUACGGUGUAGCGGUGAAAUGCGUAGAUAUCGUAAGGAAGACCAGUGGCGAAGGCGGGUCUCUGGGCAUUCCCUGACGCUGAGGCGCGAAAGCGUGGGGAGCAAACGGG
rnacentral:rRNA from 1 species